rnacentral:rRNA from 1 species
AGCAGUCGCCGCGGGAAUACGUAGGGUGCGAGCGUUAAUCGGAAUUACUGGGCGUAAAGCGUGCGCAGGCGGUUCGUUAAGACAGAUGUGAAAUCCCUGGGCUUAACCUGGGAACUGCAUUUGUGACUGGCGAGCUAGAGUAUGGCAGAGGGGGGUAGAAUUCCACGUGUAGCAGUGAAAUGCGUAGAGAUGUGGAGGAAUACCGAUGGCGAAGGCAGCCCCCUGGGCCAAUACUGACGCUCAUGCACGAAAGCGUGGGGAGCAAACAGGAUUAGAUACCCCAGUAGUCCCUGUCUCUUAUAC